UUAUGUUUUUUUAUUUAUUUAUUAACUACUAUGCACGUAAUAUAUAUAAACCAUUGUGUAUUUCUAAUGUCUUUUGGGAACAAACAAUUAUGAAAUACAUUUGUUAAUCAAAGGGUUAUGGUUACAAAGUACGACCACAUUAACUAAACAACAACAACAACCAACACAACUGCUAAUUAAAAAAUUAAUCAACAACAACAACCAACACAAGUGGACCUUCAACUCCUCUAUUAACUUCACCACUAUGUGCCGAAAACAUACA
rnacentral:lncRNA from 1 species